rnacentral:rRNA from 1 species
UACGAAGGGGGCUAGCGUUGCUCGGAAUCACUGGGCGUAAAGGGCGCGUAGGCGGGACGCCAAGUCGGUCGUGAAAUCUCCGGGCUCAACCCGGAGGAGUCGGCCGAAACUGGUGUUCUUGAGGGAGGCAGAGGAGUCUGGAAUUCCCGGUGUAGCGGUGAAAUGUGUAGAGAUCGGGAGGAACACCGGUGGCGAAGGCGGGACUCUGGGCCUACCCUGACGCUGAGGCGCGAAGGCGUGGGGAGCAAACGGG